rnacentral:rRNA from 1 species
GACGAACGCUGGCGGCGUGCCUAAUACAUGCAAGUCGAACGCAGUGGGGACGGGUGAGUAACACGUGGGUAACCUCCCAUCAGAGGGGAUAACACUUGGAAACAGGUGCUAAACCGAUACUGAUGGAUGGACCCGCGGUGCAUUAGCUAGUUGGUGCGGGAACGGCUCACCAAGGCCACGAUGCAUAGACGAACUGAGAGUGUGAGAGGCGAAACUGGGACUGAGACAGGGCCCAGACUCCUACGGGAGGAAGGAGGAGGGAAUCUUCGGCAAUGGACGAAAGUCUGACCGAGCAACGCCGCGUGAGUGAAGAAGGUUUUCGGAUCGUAAAACUCUGGUGUUAGAGAAGCGGUAUCUAACCAGAGAGCCACGGCUAACUACGUGCCAGGAGCCGCGGUAAUAC